rnacentral:rRNA from 1 species
CACCUCUAGCAUAACUAGUAUUAGAGGCACUGCCUGCCCAGUGACAAAUCGUUAAACGGCCGCGGUAUCUUGACCGUGCAAAGGUAGCAUAAUCACUUGUUCUCUAAAUAAGGACUUGUAUGAAUGGCCACACGAGGGUUUUACUGUCUCUUACUCCUAAUCAGUGAAAUUGACCUCCCCGUGAAGAGGCGGGGAUAACACAAUAAGACGAGAAGACCCUAUGGAGCUUUAAUUAAUCAACUCAAAAAGCACAAAAUAAUACCACCAAGGGAUAACAAAGCUUUAUAUGAGCUGACAAUUUCGGUUGGGGUGACCUCGGAGUAUAAAAAACCCUCCGAGUGAUUAAAACUUAGGCCUACUAGCCAAAGUAUAGUAUCACAUAUUGAUCCAAAAUUUUGAUCAACGGAACAAGUUACCCUAGGGAUAACAGCGCAAUCCUAUUCUAGAGUCCAUAUCGACAAUAGGGUUUACGACCUCGAUGUUGGAUCAGGACAUCCUAAUGGUGCAGCAGCUAUUAAGGGUUCGUUUGUUCAACGAUUAAAGUCCU